AUCACUUCUUGGCCUUUUGGCUAAGAUCAAGUGUAGCAUCUGUUCUUACCAAUUUAAUAUCCGAUACCUUCUCUAUGACAGGAAUUUAUAUUAAAUGGAUUUUUGGCAUGGGAUUUGGAUUCAGCACUUGCUCCCUCCACUCCAUGCAUCAUCCUGGUAUGGUAGUACCUUG
rnacentral:snRNA from 1 species